rnacentral:rRNA from 1 species
UAGGGAAUCUUCGGCAAUGGGGGGAACCCUGACCGAGCAACGCCGCGUGAGUGAAGAAGGUUUUCGGAUCGUAAAGCUCUGUUGUUAAGGAAGAACGAGUGUGAGAAUGGAAAGUUCAUGCUGUGACGGUACUUAACCAGAAAGGGACGGCUAACUACGUGCCAGCAGCCGCGGUAAUACGUAGGUCCCGAGCGUUUUCCGGAUUUAUUGGGCGUAAAGCGAGCGCAGGCGGUUAGAUAAGUCUGAAGUUAAAGGCAGUGGCUCAACCAUUGUAGGCUUUGGAAACUGUUUAACUUGAGUGCAGAAGGGGAGAGUGGAAUUCCAUGUGUAGCGGUGAAAUGCAUAGAUAUAUGGAGGAACACCGGUGGCGAAAGCGGCUCUCUGGUCUGUAACUGACGAUGAGGCUCGAAAGCGUGGGGAGCGAACAGG